rnacentral:rRNA from 1 species
GGGCCAGUAGGUUGGUCGUGCCACCGGUACGUACUGGUCUCACUGACUCCUCCUUCCUGAAGAACCGUAAUGCCAUUAAUUUGGUGUUGCGGGGAAACAGGACUGUUACUUUGAAAAAAUUAGAGUGUUUAAAGCAAGCUAACGCCUGAAUACAUUAGCAUGGAAUAAUGAAAUAGGACGAUCGAUCCUAUUUUGUUGGUUUCUAGGAUUGACGUA